UUUCCACUCCAGAAGACAUCAGCCAGUAUGCUUAGGCCGUUUUUAGUAAUUCUGUUGUACAGGAAGUGUGGUAUCAGCAUUUGCUUCUGGUGAGGGCCUCAGGAACCUUACAAUCAUGGCGAAAGGUCUUCUUUCUGAUCCAGGAGUGAAUUAACAGAGUUUGGCACCUUAAAGAAACACAAUCUAUUUAUUUUAAAGCCUGCUACCUGGAGACUUCAUCUGCAUUAUAAGAUCCUUGGUCUGCACGACCCCUUACCUUAGCCCAGAUACUCUCUUCUACUGAUUUCAGGUCUUUCAUUAAGAUCUCCCAACCAACUGCCAAUCAGAAAACCUUUGAAUCCACCUAUGACCAGGAAACCUCUUCUUUGAGUUGCAUGAGGGGGAACUUUAUGUGUUCAAAAUGACAAUAGGAAAAAAAAGUAAAUUUUUGUCCUAAGGUAAGAUGCCAAUAUAAAAAGGAAAUACAGGACAAAACUGGCGCCUUAAGCAAAUUUUAGAAAAUCUGUGGAAAACUCAUCUUGUGAAAGGAAUUUUGUUUGUGAUCAAGUUGGCUAAAAUUAGAAUUAUUUUUCUAAAAAUUGAGCCAUAGGAGCACUAAUGGGCAUAGAGACUGCCAGGCCCGUACCCACCAGUGCCCUGUCCCCAUGACAACAUUGCUGCCAGUGCAAAACUGUGCGGGAGACCACUAGACCCAUCCCCACCCCCAGCAGCAGCUGCCGGCUGCACAGAGGGUACACAGAGUUUCAUGCCUACCAGCACCCACCCUUGUGCUAACACCAGCCCUGGAGCAAACACAUGCACAGACACUGGGGGGACCCCUGGCUGGCCACACUAUCCUGCCACCAUCACCACUGUGAACACCCACACAGAAGUUGGCACCCCUGAACCUACCAGCACCUCACUGCAGAAUGAGUGUGCACCCUGCCAUGCUACCCAUACUGCUGGCACAUGCAAACAAGGAUGGAUCCCAUUGCCACUUCCCUACAAAGUUCUGUGGCUGGCACCACCCAUCAGACUCUUGUGAACACUGCUUCAGGAACAACUUGGCCCUUCCAGCAUGGCAGGUUCCUAACUUCCAGGGACCACAGAACAAAGCCAGAGGUCUGAAAUCAACACCCCAGAGUUAGAACACACAGUCCAGGAGUUCUGAGCUGAGCCUUGGUUCCCUAAAAUCCUCCAGAAACAAACCCAGUCAAUUGAACCCACCUUAUACCACAAUUAAAUCUCCCAGAACAUAAAAUGGAAUUAAAGAAAAAAAAACUUAUCUAAAAGUCAGCAACUACAAAGAUUGAAGGAAUAUUAGCCCACAAAGAUGAGAAAGAACCAGUGCAAAAACUCUGGCAACUCAAAAAGCCAUAGUGUCUUGUUACCUCCAAAGGAUUGGACUAGUUCCCAAACAGGCUGAGAUGGCCAAAAUUACAGAAAUAGAAUUCAGAUUCUGGACAGAAAUGAAGAUUAUUGAGAUACAGGAGAAGGUUGAAAUCUAAUCAAAGGAAUCUAAGGAUUACAAUAAACUGAACAGGAACUUAUAGACAAAAUGGCCAUUAGAACAAAGAACCAAAUUUAUCUGGUAGAGCUGUAAAACAUUCUAUGAGAAUUUCACAAUGCAAUCCCAAGUAUUAACAGCAGAACCGACCAAGCUAAGGAAAGAAUCUCAGAGCUUGAAGACCUCUUUGAAGACCUCUGAAAUAACUCUAUCAGAGUAAAAGAGAGGAAAAACAAUAAACAAGAAGGAACAACCUCUGAGUAAUAUAGAAUUAUGUAAAGAGACCCAAUAUAUAACUCAUUGAUGUGCCUGAGAAACAGGGAGGGAAACCAAGCAACUUUGAAAAACAUAUUUCAGGGCCAGGUGUGGUGGCUCACGCCUGUAAUUCCAGCACCUGUGGGAGGCUUGAGGUGGGUGGAUCACUUGAGGUUAGGAGUUCGAGACCAGCCUGGCCAACAUGGUGAAACCUUGUCUCUACUAAAAAUACAAAAAUUAGCUGGGCCUGGUGGUGCAUGCCUGUAAUCCCAGCUACUUGGGAGGCUGAGGCAGGAGAAUUACUUGAACCCGGGAGGCAGAGGUUGCAGUGAGCCAAGAUCAUGCCACUG
ensembl:lncRNA novel transcript